CAGGCUUAACACAUGCAAGUCGAGGGGCAGCAUGGUCUUAGCUUGCUAAGGCCGAUGGCGACCGGCGCACGGGUGAGUAACACGUAUCCAACCUGCCGUCUACUCUUGGACAGCCUUCUGAAAGGAAGAUUAAUACAAGAUGGCAUCAUGAGUCCGCAUGUUCACAUGAUUAAAGGUAUUCCGGUAGACGAUGGGGAUGCGUUCCAUUAGAUAGUAGGCGGGGUAACGGCCCACCUAGUCUUCGAUGGAUAGGGGUUCUGAGAGGAAGGUCCCCCACAUUGGAACUGAGACACGGUCCAAACUCCUACGGGAGGCAGCAGUGAGGAAUAUUGGUCAAUGGGCGAGAGCCUGAACCAGCCAAGUAGCGUGAAGGAUGACUGCCCUAUGGGUUGUAAACUUCUUUUAUAAAGGAAUAAAGUCGGGUAUGGAUACCCGUUUGCAUGUACUUUAUGAAUAAGGAUCGGCUAACUCCGUGCCAGCAGCCGCGGUAAUACGGAGGAUCCGAGCGUUAUCCGGAUUUAUUGGGUUUAAAGGGAGCGUAGAUGGAUGUUUAAGUCAGUUGUGAAAGUUUGCGGCUCAACCGUAAAAUUGCAGUUGAUACUGGAUAUCUUGAGUGCAGUUGAGGCAGGCGGAAUUCGUGGUGUAGCGGUGAAAUGCUUAGAUAUCACGAAGAACUCCGAUUGCGAAGGCAGCCUGCUAAGCUGCAACUGACAUUGAGGCUCGAAAGUGUGGGUAUCAAACAGGAUUAGAUACCCUGGUAGUCCACACGGUAAACGAUGAAUACUCGCUGUUUGCGAUAUACUGCAAGCGGCCAAGCGAAAGCGUUAAGUAUUCCACCUGGGGAGUACGCCGGCAACGGUGAAACUCAAAGGAAUUGACGGGGGCCCGCACAAGCGGAGGAGCAUGUGGUUUAAUUCGAUGAUACGCGAGGAACCUUACCCGGGCUUAAAUUGCAGAUGAAUUACGGUGAAAGCCGUAAGCCGCAAGGCAUCUGUGAAGGUGCUGCAUGGUUGUCGUCAGCUCGUGCCGUGAGGUGUCGGCUUAAGUGCCAUAACGAGCGCAACCCUUGUUGUCAGUUACUAACAGGUUCCGCUGAGGACUCUGACAAGACUGCCAUCGUAAGAUGUGAGGAAGGUGGGGAUGACGUCAAAUCAGCACGGCCCUUACGUCCGGGGCUACACACGUGUUACAAUGGGGGGUACAGAGGGCCGCUACCACGCGAGUGGAUGCCAAUCCCCAAAACCUCUCUCAGUUCGGACUGGAGUCUGCAACCCGACUCCACGAAGCUGGAUUCGCUAGUAAUCGCGCAUCAGCCACGGCGCGGUGAAUACGUUCCCGGGCCUUGUACACACCGCCCGUCAAGCCAUGGGAGCCGGGGGUACCUGAAGUGCGUAACCGAGAGGAGCGCCCUAGGGUAAAACUGGUGAC
rnacentral:rRNA from 1 species